AGGGUCGACGUAAUCGGAAUUGUC
rnacentral:siRNA from 1 species